AGUUAAAGGGUGUCAAGCAGUCUUCCAAACUGAUUACGCGGGUUCGAUUCCCGUCAUCC
rnacentral:tRNA from 1 species